AGAAUCAACGCUGGCGGCGUGCCUAACACAUGCAAGUCGAUCGAGAAAGUGGAGCAAUCCAUGAGUAAAGAGGCGCACGGGUGAGUAACACGUGACUAACCUACCCUCGAGUGGGGAAUAACCUGGGGAAACCCGGGCUAAUACCGCAUAAUACCCACGGGUCAAAGGAGCAAUUCGCUUGAGGAGGGGGUCGCGGCAGAUUAGUUAGUUGGCGGGGUAAUGGCCCACCAAGACGAUGAUCUGUAUCCGGCCUGAGAGGGCGCACGGACACACUGGAACUGAAACACGGUCCAGACUCCUACGGGAGGCAGCAGUGGGGAAUUUUGCGCAAUGGGGGAAACCCUGACGCAGCAACGCCGCGUGGAGGAUGAAGUCCCUUGGGACGUAAACUCCUUUCGACCGGGACGAUAAUGACGGUACCGGAUGAAGAAGCCCCGGCUAACUUCGCGCCAGCAGCCGC
rnacentral:rRNA from 1 species